AAUAAAAGAGUCGUCUCUUUCGAAGACGCUGACCCUAAACAGACUCCUUUCUUUCACUUCCGUCUCCAACAAUGUUUUUUCCGUCACAGCCUCCUUCCAUUUGGUCACCUCCACCCCAAUCACAGUCGUCUCUGUCAGUUCAAGUGGAACCCUAAAUCCGAUUUCACCUCUGUCAAAUCCACUUUUAAAUCGAAGAUAUUGAAUGUGCUUAAGGAGCUGCACACACUCAAGGGGCAUGUGGAAUCAGUAGUGGGUCUAGUUACAAAGUCAUUGUCUCCAGCUUCUUUAUCGAAACUUUCUAGAAUCUGAAUUGGAUUGAAAGCAGACUUGUAACAGUGGUUGGACUGUUCGAGGAAGAUAGCUUCUGUAGCAAGAAGCAGCUCCAUGCAAAUUCUUGGGCAGACAGGCUUCUUGAAAUUGGUGUAGAUUACAAUGGUUUCUGAUAAUGUUUGUGGGUCUAGUUACUAAGUUGAGAAGCAGUGAUUUAGUUUUUUCCUUUCCAGUCACUUAUGUUUUGUGUUUGGUCCAUUAGUAAACUUUCAAGUAGUGAAAAAAAGUUAAAAGCUUGGUAUGUACUCAGUUUUGACAAUGGAAUUUUAUUACAAUUCAAGUUUAGGUUAGUUUUGUGUGUU